CUACGGGCUGCAGCAGUGGGGAAUAUUGCACAAUGGAGGAAACUCUGAUGCAGCAACGCCGCGUGGAGGAUGACACUUUUCGGAGCGUAAACUCCUUUUAUAUAGGAAGAAGAUGACGGUACUAUAUGAAUAAGCGCCGGCUAACUCCGUGCCAGCAGCCGCGGUAAUACGGAGGGCGCAAGCGUUACUCGGAAUCACUGGGCGUAAAGAGCGUGUAGGCGGAUUAAAAAGUCAGAAGUGAAAUCCUAUAGCUUAACUAUAGAACUGCUUCUGAAACUCUUAAUCUAGAAUAUGGGAGAGGUAGAUGGAAUUUCUGGUGUAGGGGUAAAAUCCGUAGAGAUCAGAAGGAAUACCGAUUGCGAAGGCGAUCUACUAGAACAUUACUGACGCUAAGGCGUGAAAGCGUGGGGAGCAAACAGGAUUAGAUACCCCCGUAGUC
rnacentral:rRNA from 1 species